rnacentral:tRNA from 1 species
GCCUGGAUGGCGGAACUGGUAGACGCAAGGGACUUAAAAUCCCUCGCCCAAAAGGCGUGGGGGUUCGAAUCCCCCUCUAGGCA